UACGGAGGGUGCGAGCGUUAAUCGGAAUUACUGGGCGUAAAGCGUGCGCAGGCGGUUUGCUAAGACAGGUGUGAAAUCCCCGGGCUUAACCUGGGAACUGCGCUUGUAACUGGCAAGCUGGAGUGUGGCAGAGGGGGGUGGAAUUCCACGUGUAGCAGUGAAAUGCGUAGAGAUGUGGAGGAACACCGAUGGCGAAGGCAGCCCCCUGGGCUAACACUGACGCUCAUGCACGAAAGCGUGGGGAGCAAACAGG
rnacentral:rRNA from 1 species